UACGUAGGUGGCAAGCGUUGUCCGGAAUCACUGGGCGUAAAGGGCGCGUAGGCGGCCUGGUAAGUAGGGGGUGAAAUCCUGCGGCUUAACCGCAGGGCUGCCUUCUAAACUGUCAGGCUUGAGCACGGUAGAGGCAGAUGGAAUUCCCGGUGUAGCGGUGGAAUGCGUAGAUAUCUGGAGGAACACCGGUGGCGAAGGCGGCAUCCUGGACCGAGAUCGACGCUGAGGCGCGAAAGCUAGGGGAGCAAACGGG
rnacentral:rRNA from 1 species